GCCGAAGGCAGAGGCUUUAACCCACUGAGCCACCCAGGUGCCCCUGGACUUAUUUUCAACACAAAAAUUGCCUUCAGAUCACUGCAGCAGAGUAUAUUUUCCAAAGACUGCCACAAUAAUAUCCUUCCUCCCACAUGCUGCUCUACAAAAGAGAUCACAAGUAGCCAGAGAGGCAGG